rnacentral:rRNA from 1 species
CCUACGGGGGGCAGCAGUGGGGAAUAUUGGACAAUGGGCGCAAGCCUGAUCCAGCAAUGCCGCGUGGGUGAAGAAGGUCUUCGGAUUGUAAAGCCCUUUCGGCGGGGACGAUGAUGACGGUACCCGCAGAAGAAGCCCCGGCUAACUUCGUGCCAGCAGCCGCGGUAAUACGAAGGGGGCUAGCGUUGCUCGGAAUCACUGGGCGUAAAGGGCGCGUAGGCGGCCUCGUUAGUCAGGCGUGAACUUCCUGGGCUCAACCUGGGGACUGCGCUUGA